rnacentral:tRNA from 1 species
GGAGGAGUAGGUAAGCGGCUUAAACCAGCAGAUUGCUAAUCUGCGACCCCGUCAGGGGUCUCGUGGGUUCGAAUCCCACCUCCUCCG